rnacentral:rRNA from 1 species
UCGGACGGUUGCUGGAUCAUGCAAGUCGAACGGCAGCCGGACUUCGGUCUGGUGGCGAGUGGCGAACGGGUGAGUAAUGUAUCGGAACGUGCCCAGUAGCGGGGGAUAACUACGCGAAAGCGUAGCUAAUACCGCAUACGCCCUACGGGGGAAAGCAGGGGAUCGCAAGACCUUGCACUAUUGGAGCGGCCGAUAUCGGAUUAGCUAGUUGGUGGGGUAACGGCUCACCAAGGCGACGAUCCGUAGCUGGUUUGAGAGGACGACCAGCCACACUGGGACUGAGACACGGCCCAGACUCCUACGGGAGGCAGCAGUGGGGAAUUUUGGACAAUGGGGGAAACCCUGAUCCAGCCAUCCCGCGUGUGCGAUGAAGGCCUUCGGGUUGUAAAGCACUUUUGGCAGGAAAGAAACGUCGCGGGUUAAUACCUCGCGAAACUGACGGUACCUGCAGAAUAAGCACCGGCUAACUACGUGCCAGCAGCCGCGGUAAUACGUAGGGUGCAAGCGUUAAUCGGAAUUACUGGGCGUAAAGCGUGCGCAGGCGGUUCGGAAAGAAAGAUGUGAAAUCCCAGAGCUUAAACUUUGGAACUGCAUUUUUUAACUACCGGGCUAGGAGUGUGUCA